GUUAAAAUAGCUUAAAUUUAAAGCAAAGCACUGAAGAUGCUUAGAUGGUCUAAUGGGCCCUUUAACA
rnacentral:tRNA from 2 species